CGCGGCCACUCUGACAUUCAACGAAAAGUUUUUAUAUCAAAGUGGAACAUUUUGCGCCGUUCAUUUGAUUUUGCAAAUGUUAAAUGGCUGGCCAGGAUGACGAGCUGGGCAAUUUGGCGUCCACCGCAUCGCUGGGAGACAUCUAUCGAGGACAGGAGAAGGACUCCCUGGCGCUUUUGUAAACCCUCAUGAGUGGUCCGAGUUCAGAGUGAUCGGCCAUACAUUGCACUAUGGGGAAUUUGACCACUUUUUUUGGCCAAAAAUUAUUUAUUAAAAGUCGAUAGAAAUUGGUUUUGUUUAUCAGAAUGUAUAACGAUAACAUCAAUCUCAAAUGUUACUAACAGAAAAGUUUACCAGUGCGCACCACUGUUAAGUUAUCAGCUGUGAAAGCCUGUUUUUAUUUCAACGAGGUGGCAGCGCUGGUAAAUCGCCUAAUAUUCUUAGUAGCUUAAAUUGUCAAAAAGUGUAAAACUAAACAAAGCACUGCAGUUCUUGAAAUACAAUCUAAUCAGAGGGGCUUGUAACUUGUAUUUGUGACACCGCUGAAACCUUUUUUAUCUGGUUGAAUAUUUAAUUCUCAUUAGGCUCAGUUGGUAUAAAAGUGCACUUUUGCGCGCUUUCUCCAAAAUUUUGCUUGUAAGACCUGUACCUAAUACUGUACAUAUCUUACAUUUUUGUCUGGUAAAUGCCAGUUUCGAUGUUAUAUUAAAAAAAAGGUGCAAUUAUAUUUCUUACUAAAUAACGAUUAUUUUAAAAUUAUUGUACAACAUCAUUCCUAUUAACUUAACGUUGAUAUAAAGGAUUUUAGUAUUUUUGUUAA